rnacentral:rRNA from 1 species
UACGUAGGGUGCGAGCGUUAAUCGGAAUUACUGGGCGUAAAGCGUGCGCAGGCGGUUUUGUAAGCCAGAUGUGAAAUCCCCCGGGCUUAACCUGGGAAUGGCAUUUGGGACUGCAAGGCUUGAGUGCGGCAGAGGAGACUGGAAUUCCUGGUGUAGCAGUGAAAUGCGUAGAUAUCAGGAGGAAUACCGAUGGCGAAGGCAGGUCUCUGGGCCGAUACCUGACGCUGAGGAGCGAAAGCGUGGGGAGCGAACAGG